CGGAGGAAAAGAAACCAACCGGGAUUGCCUUAGUAACGGCGAGUGAAGCGGCAAAAGCUCAAAUUUGAAAUCUGGUACCUUCGGUGCCCGAGUUGUAAUUUGGAGAGGGCAACUUUGGGGCCGUUCCUUGUCUAUGUUCCUUGGAACAGGACGUCAUAGAGGGUGAGAAUCCCGUGUGGCGAGGAGUGCGGUUCUUUGUAAAGUGCCUUCGAAGAGUCGAGUUGUUUGGGAAUGCAGCUCUAAGUGGGUGGUAAAUUCCAUCUAAAGCUAAAUAUUGGCGAGAGACCGAUAGCGAACAAGUACAGUGAUGGAAAGAUGAAAAGAACUUUGAAAAGAGAGUGAAAAAGUACGUGAAAUUGUUGAAAGGGAAGGGCAUUUGAUCAGACAUGGUGUUUUGUGCCCUCUGCUCCUUGUGGGUAGGGGAAUCUCGCAUUUCACUGGGCCAGCAUCAGUUUUGGUGGCAGGAUAAAUCCAUAGGAAUGUAGCUUGCCUCGGUAAGUAUUAUAGCCUGUGGGAAUACUGCCAGCUGGGACUGAGGACUGCGACGUAAGUCAAGGAUGCUGGCAUAAUGGUUAUAUGCCGCCCGUCUUGAAACACGG
rnacentral:rRNA from 1 species